rnacentral:rRNA from 1 species
CAGAUUGAACGCUGGCGGCAUGCCUAACACAUGCAAGUCGAACGGGAGUAGCAAUACUCUAGUGGCGGACGGGUGAGGAAUACGUAGGAAUUUGCCCUUAAGUGGGGGAUAACCCGGGGAAACCCGGAUUAAUACCGCAUGACCUCGAAAGAGCAAAGUGGGGGAUCGCAAGACCUCACGCUUUUGGAGAAGCCUACGUCGGAUUAGCUAGUUGGUGAGGUAAUGGCUCACCAAGGCGACGAUCCGUAACUGGUCUGAGAGGAUGAUCAGUCACACCGGAACUGAGACACGGUCCGGACUCC